GACGAACGCUGGCGGCGUGCUUAACACAUGCAAGUCGAGCGAUGAGGCUCCUUCGGGAGCGGAUUAGCGGCGGACGGGUGAGUAACACGUGGGCAACCUGCCUUAUAGAGAGGAAUAGCCAUCCGAAAGGAUGAUUAAUACCUCAUAAUAUUGUAGCUUCGCAUGGAGCAACAAUCAAAGGAGCAAUCCACUAUAAGAUGGGCCCGCGGCGCAUUAGUUAGUUGGUGAGGUAACGGCUCACCAAGGCGACGAUGCGUAGCCGACCUGAGAGGGUGAUCGGCGACAUGGGGACUGACACACGGCCCAUACUCCAACGGGAGGCAGCAGUGGGGAAUAUUGCACAAUGGGCGAAAGCCUUAUCCAUCAACGCCGCGUGAGGGAUGACGGCCUUCGGGUUGUAAACCUCUUUCACCUCUGACGAAGCGCAAGUGACGUUAAGGGGAGAAGAAGGACCGGCCAACUACGUGCCAGCCGCCGCCGUAAUAC
rnacentral:rRNA from 1 species